rnacentral:misc_RNA from 1 species
GAUGAAGAACGUAGCGAAAUGCGAUAAGUAAUGUGAAUUGCAGAAUUCAGUGAAUCAUCGAAUCUUUGAACGCACAUUGCGCCCCCUGGUAUUCCGGGGGGCAUGCCUGUUCGAGCGUCAUUUCACCACUCAAGCCUCGCUUGGUAUUGGGCAUCGCGGUCCGCCGCGUGCCUCAAAUCGACCGGCUGGGUCUUCUGUCCCCUAAGCGUUGUGGAAACUAUUCGCUAAAGGGUGUUCGGGAGGCUACGCCGUAAAACAACCCCAUUUCUAAGGUUGACCUCGGAUCAGGUAGGGAUACCCGCUGAACUUAAGCAUAUCAAUAGCGGAGGA